rnacentral:rRNA from 1 species
GACGUAGGGCGCGAGCGUUGUCCGGAUUUAUUGGGCGUAAAGAGCUCGUAGGCGGCUUGUCGCGUCGACUGUGAAAUCCCGCGGCUCAACUGCGGGUCUGCAGUCGAUACGGGCAGGCUAGAGUUCGGUAGGGGAGACUGGAAUUCCUGGUGUAGCGGUGAAAUGCGCAGAUAUCAGGAGGAACACCGAUGGCGAAGGCGGGUCUCUGGGCAACUACUGACGCUGAGGAGCGAAAGCGUGGGGAGCGAACAGG